CCUACGGGUGGCUGCAGUGAGGAAUAUUGGUCAAUGGACGAGAGUCUGAACCAGCCAAGUCGCGUGAAGGAUGACUGCCCUAUGGUUUGUAAACUUCUUUUAUAUGGGAAUAACAUGUUCCACGUGUGGGCUUUUGUAUGUACCCUAUGAAUAAGGAUCGGCUAACUCCGUGCCAGCAGCCGCGGUAAUACGGAGGAUCCGAGCGUUAUACGGAUUUAUUGGGUUUAAAGGGAGCGUAGGUGGAUUGUUAAGUCAGUUGUGAAAGUUUGCGGCUCAACCGUAAAAUUGCAGUUGAAACUGGCAGGCUUGAGUACAGUAGAGGUGGGCGGAAUUCGUGGUGUAGCGGUGAAAUGCUUAGAUAUCACGAAGAAUUCCGAUUGCGAAGGCAGCCCACUGGACUGCAACUGACACUGAGGCUCGAAAGUGUGGGUAUCAAACAGGAUUAGAUACCCUAGUAGUC
rnacentral:rRNA from 1 species